rnacentral:lncRNA from 1 species
GGUGUUUCUUAACUCUCUGAAGUUCAUCCCAGAUGUCCAGGUACAAGCCCCUCUUCUAAAAGUACCCUAAUUUGUCAAUCAAAGAAGAUGCAUAAAAGGUAUUAUGCAUAUAUUUAAUGAUAUCAACCUGAGCCCAUUUAGGUUUGUUAAUGCAACAGUGGAAUGCAGCCUCCAGGCCUUCCCAUUCUUGCAUUUGUCUGUAUUGUCUUCAUAUUUGUUUAAAUUAAAAGUAAUACAUUUUUAACCGCACUGUUGAGGUAUAAUUUGCAUAUCAUAACAUUUCCCUUCUGUAAGUAUAAAAUUCAUUGAUUUUUGACACCUCUAUAGAGUUUUGCAUCUGUCAUCACUAUACAAGUUCAGAACAUUCCCAUCACCUCCCAAAAUUUCCUCAAGCCACAUUUGCCAUCAAUCAAAUGUGUAUUUUCAAAUGUAGUGUGUUGAUUGCUUCAUGUAUUUCAAAUAACUCAUCAUUAAAAGUAGCAUAACACAUUGUUGAAUAGAAACUUGAAAAACAUCAACCAAAAUCUUUUGUUAAGUGUAUUUUGAGGUUCUGUAUACAUACUUGAUUAAAAUCAGCUUAUUUGCAUCUGUUCUCUAUUGGUAGUUUCAAAAAAGGGAACAUACUGAACAGUUGAUUUCUUUCUUCAUAUGUUCUUGGUGGGUGAAUGUUGUCAUGUUGUUCUGGGUGGGUUUUUAGUUUUAAAAAUUUUAGUUGGUUUUGGGGAAAAUUUUCAGUUAUACAAAUGGCCCUUUUAUAUGGCCAUCUGUAUAGUACUAAUUUCUGAGAGAAUAAAUCAUACAAAAUAGAAUGAAGAAUAGAAGUUAGACUAUAUAGUUAAAUUGAAACAUAAAUAUCAAAUUGUAAAUUAUUUUCUUUGUUAGGAGUAACUAAAGGAAAGAAUGUAUUGAUCAACUCUGAUAUUAAAUGUCUCAGACUUUAGAACAGUAUAAUAAGUAUUUUAAAAGCUUUUCUUGUCUUUGUUCUACCACUUCAUAUUAAGAUGCUGAGUAUAAUAUAGAAGUACAUAUGGAAUAUAAAUAUUAUGUGAGCAUAUUAUAUUAUUAUGUAUAAUUGGGCUUCCUCAAGUGAUGUUUUUAACAAACUUUUAUUAUACAUACUAUACACUAUUAUUAUAGAAAUUAUUUCUGCUUAAAGGUGAUUGUAUGCUUGGGAAAUGCAGAUAUAUUAUGUGUACAAUUAAAUAUUUUUCUAAAAAAGUAUAACAUCAGAUGUUCAUGAAUUUUGGAAAUAAAAAUACAUAAUGCCUAGCUAGUUCUUAAGAGGUAGGCUAUAUCUUCUGUUUGUCAAGGUAUUUACUCUGAAUUAUUGGUGGAGCUAACUUUUAUUGAGGUUUCUCUGUUGCCAGGUACUUUAUUACCAAGGUUGCCAUCAGAACCGGGAAUGACAUUACUCACUAUCAGGAUUGAGAAAAUUGGUCUGAAAGACGCUGGACAGUGCAUCGAUCCCUAUAUUACAGUUAGUGUAAAGGGUAAAUAACUGGCAAAUUGCAUUAUGUUUUUUCUCAUAUGGGACAAAGUUUUUGACAUGGUAUGGUCUUGUAUAUGUGACAACUUACUUUAAUGCAUUCUAUAAUGAGGCAAAAUCCUAGAAGAGAUCAUAACAGAACAUAGUUCUGAAAGACUUACAAAAAAUAUUUCCUACUUAUACACUCACUUUUGCUUUUGAGUUUGUAUAGAUUUUUGCUCUUCAGAUUCCAUCUAACGUGCGGACUAAACAUACACAUUGUCCUUAACAGCAGCUACAGCCUUCAGGAUGUAGAUUAACAAUAGCACCCCUCACCUUCCAUGGGUGUGUAGUUUUCUACACAAAGCCCCAUAUCCUGUUUUCCCAUCUCUCCUGCUUCAGCCCCUCUUCUUCCUGUGCUACUGAGGUAUCUACAUAGGUGAGUCCUACAGAGGCAGAUGAAAAUCAGGGGACAGGGAAGUAGGGUGCGUCCAUAACAUCCAUGCCCUGAAUGCAAUCCCGUGGGAUGAUGAUGUGAUUAAGGAAUAAAUUAUACCAUUUUACAGAAAUAACUAUAGUUUGUACAAAUGGCUUAUUUUAAUCUGUAGUUUUGCACCAAAGGAACAGAUCGGUGCUGAAAUUAAAUGGAGGAACUUUUAUCAAUUGCAGAAAUAAAGUCAGAACCAUGGGUUCAUUAGUGCUAAUUAAAAGAAAAAUAUGACCACAAAGAAAAACAUUUAUUUAAAGAACAUAAUCCACAGCACUAAUACUGGUACACUUUUAAAUGCCGAUGUUACCAGUUAUCAAAUAUAUAGUGUACUGGGAAAUAUUUAUAUUAUUUGAUAGGCCAUUUGUAAAACUGCAUACUCAUUCAGAAAGUAUACUUAAAACACGAAAAUAUUUAAUGAUGUUGUAAAUGUUAAAUUACCUUUGCAUAUGUUAAACUGAAAUAUUUUUAUGUAAAUAUUUUUAAUUAUUAAAUGUACUAAAUUGUUUUUGAGCUUUUUGAGAUACAUAAAUGAAUAACACGUAAACACUGAGUAGUUAUUAAAUGAGUCCAUGUUGAAUUUGAUUAAACUGAAUUUUAAAACCCGCAAAAUUAAAACUAUAUAUAAUGUACCAUCUGGUUGUUGUAAAUUCAGGGUAUGUUGUAAACAGUAUAACCAGAAUUUAGAUAAUAUAUAUGAAAAAUUAUUCAUUAACAAAAGGGUUUUUGUUGGCUGUUCUCAUCCAUUUUUGGUUCUUAACAGGGAAAUUAUGAUAAGGUUAGGUUUAAAGGCUUUUCUAAAUAAGCCAUAUACUUGAUCAAAGUUAGAAAUUGGUGGCAGAGCUCCAUUGUGGCAAAUUAUAUACUCCAGAUUUUUACCACUUCACUAUGAAGAUCAAGUUUUGUCCACUUGGCCAUGUAAAGGCUUCCUUGUCCCCUUCAUGAGGUCUCCUAUCCAGUCUAUAUUCAUUUCUCUCCACAUACCCCAUGAACUUCAACAACUCUCACAUACUUGCUCACACCAAAUAGGAAUCUCUUAGCCUGAGAAUCUCCUCUCAGCUCCUUCCAUGCCUCUUUAGGAACUGUAACCUUUGCAGUUUCUAGAUUUUCCGUCUGUAUAUGUGAAUGCUCAUAAGCAGAAACUUAUUUGUUUCUCCAGAUCUGAAUGGCAUAGAUUUAACUCCUGUGCAAGAUACUCCUGUGGCUUCAAGAAAAGAAGAUACAUAUGUUCAUUUUAAUGUGGACAUUGAGCUCCAGAAGCAUAUUGAAAAAUUAACCAAAGGUUUGUAAUUAUCAGUUACUGACUUCUUAAGGACACAGUACUUAUCUGGGUUUGUGUUCAUAGUAUACUUAACACAAGAUCUUACGUCACAUAGUUAUGAAUAUUGACUUAAAGAAAGUCAAAUCAAUUUUUUUUUAAAUAUGAGAAUUAGCAGUUGCAUUAUCUAGUUGUGUAAUAAUGUGGUUAAAUAUUAUUUGAUAGGGAAGUUUUUCUCAUAAUACAGAGUUAAGGAAGCAGGGUCCCUAAUAAUUACCUUAAGUCCUUUUAGGAACCUAAUGAUUACUUUCUAACAGUUAAAGAAUUAGUUUUUUUUCUUUCAAUAAGAUGCAUUGGGUAAAAAGAUACUAUAACUGGCAGUUAGUUUGUAAGAAUAUGGAAAGGACAAUCUGGGCUUGGUGGUUUCAGGAGGGAGAGAAAUGAUGUAAGCUAGAAUUUUAAAAUUUCUAUUCUAUCUAAUAUAGGUGCUUAUUGAAACCAUUUCUAUAGGUACUGCUGAUACUUAAGUAACUUCUGUUUUUCUUGUGGUAUUUAAUAUUUUAUAUUCUUUGGUAGUUUAUGAUUCUACCUGUGUACAUAACUUACAUUCUUGCUAUAAAAUUUUGUUGUACUUUGUAGAAUUAAAUGAUAUGGAGAAAUGUCACUCAGACAUGGUAGAAGAGCUUGGAGUGACAGCCACAGUGAGUUAUCAACAGUGUGUGUCAUCAGACUGUUUGACACAUGUUACUUUGUAAAAUCAUAGGCUUCUGGUGACACGUAAGAAAUGUGUGGUCUCUGGCUUAUGUGGUUUGUUUUAAUUCCUUAGGUGCAGCUAUCUUCUUUGAAUUCAAACACUACAAGCCUAAAAAAAGGUUUACCAGCACCAAGUGUUUUGCUUUCAUGGAGAUGGAUGAGAUUAAACCUGGGCCAAUUGUAAUAGAACUGUAAGUGAUAUACAUAUAGGAUUCUUACUGUUUUAAUGGUUACUAGUUCAUGUUUCUUCUUAGUCCCUCUUAUCUACAAUGUAACAUUGGAGUAGAUCAAUCAUCAAAGUAUUUUAAACAAUGAUCUUUCUAUUGUGGUUACAGAUACAAGAAACCCACUGACUUUAAAAGAAAGAAAUUGCAGUUAUUGACCAAGAAACCACUUUAUCUUCAUCUACAUCAAACUUUGCACAAGGAAUGAUUCUGACAUGAGUAAUGUGGAAUUUCUGUGAAUUUUACCACUCAGUAGAAACCAUCAGAGCUCUGUGUAGCAUAUUCAUCCUUCAGGAGGCAGGAAGUGAGCCGUACCUAUAGGCCAGUGAGUCCAUUGCAAAGCUGUACCACAGAACUAAAGUCCAGUACCUCAUUGUUAUGACUCCUUUGGAUACAGGUUUAUUGUAGAUUUUGAAACAUGUUUUUACUUUUCUAUUAAUUGUGCAAUUAAUAGUCUGUUUCCUAAUUUACCACUGUUCCUACCCUGCUUCCUGGAACAAUACUGCUGUGGUAGGUAUGCUCAUCUUCAAACUUAAUACAGCAAUAAGAAUGUGCUAGAGUUUACACAUUUGCUCACUUUUGCUCCAAUAUGGUCUUUUGAUUUGAAUUAACUUCAAACUUUUGAAUUGAAGUGGGUAGGAUAGUACCAGAUUGCUUUGAAAGGAAAUUGGAUCAGUUAUGGUCUGUCUUAUAAGCUGUUCCUUAGAGCUGGCCUAAAUUCACCCUCAUCUGAUAGUUCUACUUAGAAAUAGUGUGCCUUGACCAGAUCAAUAUCUUAUAUGGGAGUGUUCUCCAGGUUGUAGCUGUGACUUUUUUCCAGAUGACCAGAUUGUUUUUCUGAAAGUGAGCAUAUUUUUAGUCAUGUUGAUUAGUUGUUCUACAUCACAUUGCUAUUGUUUCUAGGGUUAACAUUAAAACCAUCUCUCUCAGAAUAAUUACAAAUUUUGGGGUGGGUUUACGUCUUCUAAAUCAUGUCAUCUACAAAUAAUUGAGUCAGAUGCUAAUGAGAUACUGCAGGAACAACUGCUGUUUUUCUGACAACUGAUUGUGAAACCUUAAAACCUGCAUACCUUGUCUUUAUAAAGUGAUGAGUAUGCAGAAUCUGGAAAGAUAUUCUAUUUUUUUUAAUAUAGGUAGAUACAACUGCCAUUUAUUUCCUAUUUAGAUAUAUUGACAUUCAUAUGAAAAUAUGCAGGUCAUUAGCCUAUUAUAAUUUCACUAUUUACAUUACUUUUAACUUAAUGAUGAGACAUAAAUAAAACUUUCAUAGUACACGAGGUGGAUAUUUGAUACACAGAACAUAAAGAUUUGUGAGGAGCUUUUUUUGUGGGUUACAUGUAGAACCCAUGUAUUUUAAUAUUCACUGUUUUAAAUGAACAAUGCAUGAAGGGAAUGCAGUACUUGGCCUAUUUUUAAACUAGUGUAAACCCUAAUCAUACCAUCCGUUUGCUUUUUAAAACGAAUAACAAUUGUUUUAGCCCUUGCACUUCAAGAGAUCUAGUCUUUAAUUUUUCAGUUGUCUGUUAGGUCAAUUUUGUUUACUAGAUGAAUAUUAAUAAAACUAUAUGAGCCUGAAAGAAUUCUCAACCAAAUUUAGUCUUUCAUCUGGAUUGGGUUAAUUUCACAAAUGCAAAAAUAGUUCAGUCUACAGUAGUUCUAGGAAAUGAAGAAUUUGCCUUAAUAAAAUGUUCACUUAACUGAAACUCUGAGUAGUCAAAAUUUCCAGACUGUAAACUUCUCAAGAGAAGGGCCUCAUCUUCUCCAUGUCAUGUAAACUUUCCAAGGUGCUUGGGCAGCACUCUGUACCCUGUGGAGUACUCAGUACCUUUUUGUUUGAUGUUACUGAUGUUUGAUGUUGCUCCCUUAAAAUCUACUAUUAAAAUGUAGCAAAACUGAUACAUUGUUCUUUCUGUUUCUCAUAGACUAUAAAACAUGUAUAUCCAAGUGAUAAUUUUAAAAAAAACAAAAACCUUUUUUUUGGUUGUAGAUGAACACAGUACCUUUAUAUUUAUAUGUGGUGCUGAGGAUCAAACCCAGUGACUCAC